rnacentral:rRNA from 1 species
UUUGAUCCUGGCUCAGGAUGAACGCUGGCGGUAUGCUUAACACAUGCAAGUCGAACGGAAUGCUUCGGCAAAUCUAGCUUUAGGUUCGGGACAACAGUGGGAAACUGCUGCUAACACCGAAUGUGCCUUUAUAGGUGAAAGAUUAAUUGCCUGAAGAAGAGCUCGCGUCUGAUUAGCUAGUUGGUGAGGUAAAGGCUCACCAAGGCGACGAUUAGUAACUGGUCUGAGAGGAUGACCAGUCACACUGGGACUGAGACACGGCCCAGACUCCUACGGGAGGCAGCAGUGGGGAAUUUUCCGCAAUGGGCGAAAGCCUGACGGAGCAAUACCGCGUGAGGGAGGAAGGCUCUUGGGUUGUAAACCUCUUUUCUCAGGGAAGAACAAAAUGACGGUACCUGAGGAAUAAGCAUCGGCUAACUCCGUGCCAGCAGCCGCGGUAAUACGGAGGAUGCAAGCGUUAUCCGGAAUUAUUGGGCGUAAAGCGUCCGCAGGUGGCAAUUCAAGUCUGCUGUUAAAGGUUCUGGCUCAACCAGAAACAGGCAGUGGAAACUGAAUAGCUAGAGUGCGGUAGGGGCAGAGGGAAUUCCCAGUGUAGCGGUGAAAUGCGUAGAGAUUGGGAAGAACACCGGUGGCGAAAGCGCUCUGCUAGGCCGUAACUGACACUCAUGGACGAAAGCUAGGGGAGCGAAUGGGAUUAGAUACCCCAGUAGUCCUAGCCGUAAACGAUGGAUACUAG